UACAGAGGGUGCAAGCGUUAAUCGGAAUUACUGGGCGUAAAGCGUGCGUAGACGGUUAUGUAAGUCAGGUGUGAAAGCCCCGGGCUCAACCUGGGAAUGGCAUUUGAGACUGCAUAGCUAGGGUGCGGAAGAGGGAAGCGGAAUUUCCGGUGUAGCGGUGAAAUCGCGUAGAUAUCGGAAGGAACAUCAGUGGCGAAAGCGGCUUCCUGGACCGGUAUUGACGCUGAGGCGCGAAAGCCAGGGGAGCCAAAC
rnacentral:rRNA from 1 species